rnacentral:rRNA from 1 species
GAUGAACGCUAGCGGCAGGCCUAAUACAUGCAAGACGAACGGUAAGUUGAGUAGCAAUACUUAGCCAAGAGUGUCGUACGGGUGCGUAACACGUAUGCAACCUACCCUAUACAGGAGGAUAGCCUAGGGAAACCUGGAUUAACCCUUCAUAGUAUUAUUGGAUGGCAUCAUUUGAUAAUUAAAACUGAGGUGGUAUAGGAUGGGCAUGCGUCUGAUUAGUUAGUUGGCGGGGUAAUGGCCCACCAAGACGAUGAUCAGUAGGGGUUCUGAGAGGAAGAUCCCCCACACUGGCACUGAGAUACGGGCCAGACUCCUACGGGAGGCAGCAGUAGGGAAUAUUGGGUCAAUGGAUGCAAGUCUGAACCAGCCAUGCCGCGUGCAGGAAGAAGGCCUUCUGGGUUGUAAACUGCUUUUGCCAGGGGAUAAAAAUUUCCAUGCGUGGAGAACUGAAGGUACCUGGUGAAUAAGCCACGGCUAACUACGUGCCAGCAGCCGC